AGUGAACGCCGGCGGUAGGCCUAACACAUGCAAGUCGAACGGCAGCACAGUAAGAGCUUGCUCUUACGGGUGGCGAGUGGCGGACGGGUGAGGAAUACAUCGGAAUCUACUUUUUCGUGGGGGAUAACGUAGGGAAACUUACGCUAAUACCGCAUACGACCUACGGGUGAAAGCAGGGGAUCUUCGGACCUUGCGCGAUUGAAUGAGCCGAUGCCGGAUUAGCUAGUUGGCGGGGUAAAGGCCCACCAAGGCGACGAUCCGUAGCUGGUCUGAGAGGAUGAUCAGCCACACUGGAACUGAGACACGGUCCAGACUCCUACGGGAGGCAGCAGUGGGGAAUAUUGGACAAUGGGCGCAAGCCUGAUCCAGCCAUACCGCGUGGGUGAAGAAGGCCUUCGGGUUGUAAAGCCCUUUUGUUGGGAAAGAAAAGCAGCAGGUUAAUACCCCGCUGUUCUGACGGUACCCAAAGAAUAAGCACCGGCUAACUUCGUG
rnacentral:rRNA from 1 species